rnacentral:tRNA from 1 species
GGGCCGGUCGUCUAGUGGACCCUCGUGGGGCUCAACCCUCAAGCAUGGUUAGGACGUCGCUCUGACACGGCGAAGGUCCCCAGUUCAAAUCUGGGCCGGCCCA